UGGACAAUGGGCGCAAGCCUGAUCCAGCCAUACCGCGUGGGUGAAGAAGGCCUUCGGGUUGUAAAGCCCUUUUGUUGGGAAAGAAAAGCAGUCGAUUAAUACUCGGUUGUUCUGACGGUACCCAAAGAAUAAGCACCGGCUAACUUCGUGCCAGCAGCCGCGGUAAUACGAAGGGUGCAAGCGUUACUCGGAAUUACUGGGCGUAAAGCGUGCGUAGGUGGUUGUUUAAGUCUGUUGUGAAAGCCCUGGGCUCAACCUGGGAAUUGCAGUGGAUACUGGGCGACUAGAGUGUGGUAGAGGGUAGUGGAAUUCCCGGUGUAGCAGUGAAAUGCGUAGAGAUCGGGAGGAACAUCCAUGGCGAAGGCAGCUACCUGGACCAACACUGACACUGAGGCACGAAAGCGUGGGGAGCAAACAGGAUUAGAUACCCUGGUAGUCCACGCCCUAAACGAUGCGAACUGGAUGUUGGGUGCAAUUUGGCACGCAGUAUCGAACUAACGCGUUAAGUUCGCCGCCUGGGGAGUACGGUCGCAAGACUGAAACUCAAAGGAAUUGACGGGGGCCCGCACAAGCGGUGGAGUAUGUGGUUUAAUUCGAUGCAACGCGAAGAACCUUACCUGGUCUUGACAUGUCGAGAA
rnacentral:rRNA from 1 species